AUUGAACGCUGGCGGCAGGCCUAACACAUGCAAGUCGAACGAGUGGCGGACGGGUGAGUAAUGUCUGGGAAACUGCCUGAUGGAGGGGGAUAACUACUGGAAAAGGUAGCUAAUACCGCAUACCAUCAGAUGUGCCGAGAUGGGAAUAUCUAGUAGGUGGGGUAACGGCUCACCUAGGCGACGAUCCCUAGCGGGUCUGAGAGGAUGACCAGCAACACUGGAACUGAGACACGGUCCAGAUUCCUACGUGAGGCAGCAGUGGGGAAUAUUGCACAAUGGGCGCAAGCCUGAUGCAGCCAUGCCGCGUGUAUGAAGAAGGCCUUCGGGUUGUAAAGUACUUUCAGCGGGGAGGCGUUACCCGCAGAAGAAGCACCGGCUAACUCCGUGCCAGCAGCCGCGGUAAUAC
rnacentral:rRNA from 1 species